GGUGUGUUGUUACCAGGUAGAUAAGGAGAAACUAGUCUGGUGUGGUGUGUUGUUACCAGGUAGAUAAGGAGAAACUAGUCUGGUGUGGUGUGUUGUUACCAGGUAGAUAAGGAGAAACUAGUCUGGUGUGGUGUGUUGUUACCAGGUAGAUAAGGAGAAACUAGUCUGGUGUGGUGUGUUGUUACCAGGUAGAUAAGGAGAAACUAGUCUGGUGUGGUGUGUUGUUACCAGGUAGAUAAGGAGAAACUAGUCUGGUGUGGUGUGUUGUUACCAGGUAGAUAAGGAGAAACUAGUCUGGUGUGGUGUGUUGUUACCAGGUAGAUAAGGAGAAACUAGUCUGGUGUGGUGUGUUGUUACCAGGUAGAUAAGGAGAAACUAGUCUGGUGUGGUGUGUUGUUACCAGGUAGAUAAGGAGAAACUAGUCUGGUGUGGUGUGUUGUUACCAGGUAGAUAAGGAGAAACUAGUCUGGUGUGGUGUGUUGUUACCAGGUAGAUAAGGAGAAACUAGUCUGGUGUGGUGUGUUGUUACCAGGUAGAUAAGGAGA